GACGAACGCUGGCGGCGCGCUUAACACAUGCAAGUCGAACGGAAAGGCCUGCUUUCCCUUGUGGAUUGCGGGUACUCGAGUGGCGAACGGGUGAGUAACACGUGAGUGAUCUGCCCCCAACUUGGGUAUAAGCCUGGGAAACUGGGUCUAAUUCCCGAUAGGACUGCAGGGUGGUGCCUGUGGUGGAAAACGAUUUUCUAGUGGUUGGGGAUGAGCUCGCGGCCUAUCAGCUUGUUGGUGGGGUAAUGGCCUACCAAGGCGGCGACGGGUAGCCGGCCGGGGAGGGUGGACGGCCACAUUGGGACUGGGAUACGGCCCAGACUCCUACGGGAGGCAGCAGUGGGGAAUAUUGCACAAUGGGCGGAAGCCUGAUGCAGCGACGCCGCGUGGGGGAUGACGGCCUUCGGGUUGUAAACUCCUUUCGACCGCGAGGAAGCCACCUGGUUGGAAGGGUGGUGACGGUAGUGGUAGAAGAAGCACCGGCUAACUACGUG
rnacentral:rRNA from 1 species